UGUACUCUAAUUAACAAAAUUCUCGCUCGUGUCAACUACUGUUUCUAGUAAAAAAAAAAAAAAGCGGGGAGUGAGUCGCUAGUUCAGUGAGUAAUAACACUUAACCACAACCAUUUUUAAUUGGGGACAAGUCAGAAAGCAUGCAUGUUUAAUAACAAUCAGAAACUAUCAUAAAAAUAAAAUGCCCUCUCAAACACGGUAAAUAUAAUCAGUCUAUUCAUGUACUUUCUGUGACAGAAAUCAAUUUAACAGAUCGAUAAUAAAUAUGGUAGACACUGUCUCAUAGAAAUUUUUUAUGUUUGGGAGGUUUCCAAGAAAUGAUCAUGUAAUCUGUAUCACUGUGUGGACCCCUUCGUAAAAGGAGUCAAAUAUAACUUGUAGGUCCCUACUCGAGAAAGAACUGUAACUGUAUGCUAGUUCUACCUUCCCACUAGCGAGGGCUAUAAUUGUAAUCGGUAAUCUGUAAAUACAAGGUACACCAGGUCUAACAAACCCGCCGUUAGCUACGAGAUCCUUCAAAGUCUCCUCCCAUUUAUACUCUUUCUUGUAAACAUUAAAUACUCGUAUGAAAGUAUUUUUAAAAUAAUAAAGGGUAUAUCAUUUCUUAUCAAAUCUUAUAAUUUAUUUCGGUAACAGUAAUCAUGUCACAAGUAAUAGUAAAAUAUUUCUAGUAAUAGUGAAAAAUAAUUUAAAUAACUGUAACAUCUCAAGUAACGGUAAAACAUAUCUAGUAACGAUGAAAAUAUUUAGAUUAACCGGUAAACUUCUCAAGUAAAUUGUUCAGUACCAUAUCAAGUAAAGGACUUGUCCCACAUGCAAAUUUCAAAGCAUCGGUAACACAUUUAUUUUCAAAAUCAUAUAUAAACCAUGCAUGUUAUGAAAAGACAAAUUGUGGUAAGAUUACUACUCACGUUACUCGUGCCGAAAUACCAAAUGAGUCACCUCGAACACUCGUUCAACUUCUUCAACUACAUAUAUUGUUACGAAACCAAGCUAUGCAUCAACUUCGUGAAUUGCCAACAUAACUGGUCCAAUCCAGUCACAUUUAAUUAAUUCUCCUACUUUCAUUCCUCUGAUAUAUUGCCUUUAAUUCUCUGUUAAUUAAUUUAGUAUUACUUAUUUGAUUAGGAGCUGCAUCUUGUUCUUUAUUUGUUCUUAGUAUCUGAUUGAUACUACUAUAGGUAGAGGACACGAAAAAUUUCAUUUGUUCGAUACAAAAAUAAUACUCAUAUCCUCACAUAGUAGUUUACAAGCACUGCUAGCUUGUACAGUAAAGUGCCCAGUAUAAACUGAUAGAUUCUUCAUUCAAUCUAAUAGGAAUUCCAGGAUUGUGCAAUAUAGAAACACCUUAAUUCUCUUUUCUUAUCUCUACCCUUCGUUACAGAAUCAUUAACUAAUAAUAGGCUAGGUAUUAAGUAAUGGAAAUCUCAGAUAAAAAAGGAGAUUAAAUUACCUAUCUUGUUCUCUUCCAUUCCAAAAUCCCUUCGUUAGAAAGAAGUAAAUCCUCCUCUUUUGUUGCCUCCGAUCACCACUGCCGUAACUCAAUUGCUUUAUACCCUAUUCCUCUUUGCUUUAUGUUAGUGCCGUAGUGCACUUUGGCACUAAUCCCUCUCUUAUUUUU
rnacentral:lncRNA from 1 species